rnacentral:rRNA from 1 species
UCCUGGCUCAGAUUGAACGCUGNCGGCAUGCUUUACACAUGCAAGUNGAACGGUAACAGGNAGCUUGNUCCGCUNACGAGUGNCGNNNGGGUGAGUAAUGNGUCGUAACGUGCCGAGUAGUGGGGGAUAACUAUCCGAAAGGAUAGCUAAUACNGCAUACGCUUUGAGAAGGAAAGCAGAGGAUCGCAAGNCCUUGNGCUAUUCGANNGGNNNACGUCUGAUUAGCUAGUUGGUNAGGUAAAGGCUCACCAAGGCAUCGAUCAGUAGCGGGUCUGANAGGAUGAUCCGCCACACUGGGACUGAGACUCGGCCCAGACUCCUACGGNAGNCACCAAGUGGGGAAUUUUGGACAAUGGGCGCAAGCCUGAUCCACGCCAUGCCGCUGUGUCUGAAGAAGGCCUUCGGGUUGUAAAGGACUUUUGUCAGGGAGGAAAUCCCUAGCGCUAAUAUCGUUGGCGGCAUGAAAAGUACAU